rnacentral:rRNA from 1 species
UACGUAGGCAGCGAGCGUUGUUCGGAAUUACUGGGCGUAAAGAGUGUGUAGGCGGUGCUCUAAGUUCGGUGUGAAAUCUCCCGGCUUAACUGGGAGGGUGCGCCGGAAACUGGAGUGCUCGAGCGUGGGAGAGGAAAGCGGAAUUCCUGGUGUAGCGGUGAAAUGCGUAGAUAUCAGGAGGAACACCUGCGGUGUAGACGGCUUUCUGGACCAUUGCUGACGCUGGGACACGAAAGCGUGGGUAGCAAACAGG